UAAAAACACAUUUGGUUUUAAGGGUGUAUAUGCACAGGGCUAUGUCUUAGCUGGCAAAGCUAACAGAUUUUGCUGAUGUGAAUGUUUUACUUCAACCCCGCUCCAUUCACUCAUCUGUUUCACCCUCUGUCACAGAUCAUCCUGAAGCAGAUGGUGGAUGCAGCCAUUGAGAUGCACUCAAGACAUUAAGUUGAAAAACAUCCUAGUGGAAACUGGAUCCAUUGUCCCGAGUGCCUGAGUGAUUGAUUUUGGUUGUGGCUGCAUUGUGAGAAAGGGAUAUUACUGUUAUUAUUGUGGUACCUUCUCAAAAGCCUCUCCAGAAUGGUUUAUGGUCUGAGAAUACCAGGCCAGUCCCUCAACAGUGUGGCAGCUGUGAGCACUGUUGUAUGACCUGCUUGACCAUAAGCAUUUAUUUAAAACUCAAGUUUACCUCGACAGAGGGCCUGUCCACAGGUGGCCGGCAUCCAUACAUACAUCCACACGUUGGCUUUUCACUGAACCCGCGGUUUCACGCAUUUUGGACCAGUGGGAGGAGCUUAGGCUGCAUUUUGCAGUCACUAAGUCAAGUGAAACUGCUACAUGGCUGAGGUUUUACACUCCAUGUACAGUGUAUCUGACUUUUUUGAAGUCGGUGCUGGGUGAGGUACAGUUGGCCAUCAAAGCUUUUGAGGGAGAACAGGUAGAUCCUCUUAAGCUGCUUGACAGCUUGGUUAGCCUGAUAAGUCUGUGAGCAGUAGGGUGCUGAAUCCACUGGCAAAUGUUGAUGUACUCAAAGGGCCAACAGCUGAAUACAUCGGUCCCAAACCGUACUUUAGUUACCUUUUUGAGUCAAAGACAGCUGAGCUCCACCUUGCGCCUGAGGAUGAAAACAGUGUCCGAAAGCGGUGUGUAGACUUCACCAUCUCCCUCACUAGUGAGUUGAGGGUGAGACUGCUGGACAACAUCGAAGCAUUGCAGUACGUCAGUUUUCAAUAUGGAGGAAACUCUGAAGCACAAUAAGAGUAAUAGCCAAGCUCCUUGGCUACUCCCCUGCAGUGAUCGACAAGAUUGUCCAGCAAUGGCGUGCCAUCCAUCUUAAGGGAACAAGACAAAAAGCACACUGGGUUUCUGGAGUGAGAUUUAGAAGUUCAAGAACUUGCCAUGGCUGCUGUAUCUGUGUUGUCCUUGCCACACUCGAAUGCUGAAGUCAAGAGAGUAUUCAGCCAGAUGAGUGUGGUAAAAAGCAAACUUAGAAAUCGGAUGUCCUUGCAGACCCUUAACUCCAUCCUUACAUCUGGUAUGGACUGAAUCUGUCUGGUGAGGCUUGCUAUGAGCACCAGCUGCCUGAUAACGUUUUGCAACUUUUUGGCACGUUAGCUGGUUACUUAUUUAAGUCUGCUCCCUCAGUUACUGAACCUGCCAUAGAGAGCCUUGACCAAAUGAGGAUGACCCACUCUUUCUAUGAGCCUGCACAGCAUGAGUGUGUGU